CUCAUGGAGUUAUGCAUGUGUCUCACUGCGCACUACACACACAUCUCUGCAAUCACACACUUCUCCAGCAUGCACACAGGACUGCUCUCUCUGUGGGUGACAGGGGUUUUGUUGCUGCCUCAGUGUUUGGGUUAUACAGAUGAUAGUGAAUUUGAUUAUGCGACACAGACCGCAGGAUACACCGACUAUACAGAUUACUCCUUUGAAUAUGAAUCUGACUAUAAUACAACCAGUAUAAAUUAUGAUAUGUAUGUAACUCCCAAUCAAGGCAAUAAACAUGGAGAAUCCAAUUCAGUAAACGAAGAAGCAGUCCGCGGUGGCAUGAACCCGAUAAAUGAUGAGGCCUCAACAGUGUGUAGAUACUGUGCUGUAGGACUGGGACUUAUAGUGCAACGGUUCUGCCAAUAAACAUGACUGGGAUUUUUACACACACAGCCUGAACAAAGGGCUGAAAGAAUUUGGAUUUUCGGGCACUGCAGGAUGCCAUUUCAGAUGCCCAAGCAGCUUGACCUUUUCUUCAGAGGGUGCACUGUGGGUUCUUUUUAACUGUUCUUUUAAGCAUUUAUUCUGAGUUUUGUAAAACCUUCAUUAAAUAUAAAGUGUACACUGUAGAAUUUGGCCAAGCAAUAGUGACUUAUACAUUGGUUCAUCAAAAAGCCCUAGAAAGAUACACUUACUAUUACCCAUGCCUAAUUCACUUACAUUGUAAGCUAGCCACAUAGGCGUCACAAUGGAUCGUGAGCCUUUUUUUAUUGAAAAAAACCCCAAAACAAAUACAAAACAGAUAUCAGGUACAGAACUUAAUGUAAAGUUGCUGGCAGCAUACAUAGUAAAUUAUAGGGUUGAAUAUUAAUAGCAAAUAUGAAUAUAUUUUUAUUAACAAAUUGGGCAGAAUUCCACCUCCAUUUUUUUUAAAAAGAACAAUCAAUCAUGUAAUUGUAUGCAAACAAAUGUUUUUACACAACUUUAAAGCAUCAAACAUUUCAUUUUGGAAGCACCAACCUCUCAUUCAGACUUUGUAAAUCAAACAGAGUUGGAUAUAGAGAGAUUGAUGGAGAGAUAGAAAUAAAGCAGAAUGAUUUUUUAUAUUAAUUGUUAUAAUGAUGUUAGGGAGAAAACAAUUAUUACCGUGAUGUUACAGAAAACAAACAAACAAUAUCCAAUAUUACCGCAUGAGUGUAGAACACUCAUUUUUAAGCUGUUUGGCAAUCUCUUUGGCAUAAAAAACACACAAUUUGCUUAUACUCUUACAAAAAACGGUUCCUUAAGGGAUCAGUUUGCUUACACUCUCACAAAAAGGUCCUUCACUCCCUAAAGAGCUUUACUUGAAACCCUGUCUAUGAAGAAAACUCUGUUGUAGGGUUCUAUAAAGAAAUUUUAAGAAUUCCCUUAGAGUGACAAAAAAGAACCCCACAAUGAACAUUAAAUCACAGUUGUGGUAAAAAGAAAACCAAAAAUAAUUUCCUUUGAUUGCAAAUAUUUCACCCCCCCCCCCCCCCCCCCCCCCCAAGACAGAUUUACCACUCUUGCCUUGGCACAUUGGUAAUUUUUUAUUAAUUCACCUGAAGCGAUUAUCAGAAAAGGCUCUGCAGGCUUAUGCUAUUUUAUAGUCAGGUUUGAUCUUGUUUUGACUUGUUGACAAGAAUGAAAGCAAAGCACAGCUUUCGUUCUCUCUGAUUCUAUGUGAAAUUUUAGACAAAUGUUUAAAAACAACCCCUGUAUUUUUGUCCAAUCUGUCACAUGAACAGAAGCACAUUUUAAGCUGAAAGACUUGUUUUUGUCUGACUCUUGCAAGCCUUUGAUAUGUAUCAUUUUAGGAUUUUAUAUCUAAAUUUCAGAUGUGGGUAACGUUGCUGAAAGCUUUCCUCAAAUAAUCCCUACUGCUUGCAAAAAACAAUUAUAUCUUAAAUCCCUAAUUUAGGAGUAACUAUGGUAACUAGUUGAUGGUAACUAGAGUCAGCUGGUGUCCAAUAACCUUCACAUUGCAUUUGGAAGAGAGACAGAGAGAGAGACAGAGAGAGAGAGAGAGAGAGAGAGAGAGAGAACACCACCACAGCACUGCUACAAUACCCACCACAUACAAUCAUUAUUAAAGUCCCUUACUGCAGACAUGUAAUAAACAAAUAAAGGAAUUAUGCCUUGGGACAUAACAAUAUAAAAUGAGUAGAUUUUCAGUAGCCAUUCAGUAUAAAUAAGAGAUUAGUUAGUAUAUAUUAUUAUACUAACAUGAAUUACAGAAGAUAAUAAAAAAAGUUCAGCAUGACUAAAUCUCUGCCACAUUGUGAAGGGUAUUCUGUUUUUUUUCUUCUUUCAGUGAAUCAGAUCAUUUAACUAAGCUCACUGGUAAUAGAUGACUCCCAAAUAGCUCAGUGCCAUUUUUUAGUUUAAACUUAAUAAAUGUUGUGAUAUCAUGACAGUGAUUGUUAUUUCUUUGUUGCAUGGAAUCUUGUUUUACCUUCUAAUGGAAGAAAUAACAUUGUUUUGCAUAGAAUUUUGAAUCAGGUGCUACAAAUGUGCAUUAAAAAAUACUGGCUUUCACUGCA